rnacentral:rRNA from 1 species
UUUUAUUGCGCAUUACCAAAAGCGGAGGAAAAGAAACCAACAGGGAUUGCCUCAGUAACGGCGAGCGAAGCGGCAAGAGCUCAAAUUUGAAAUCUGGCGUCUUUCUUAGGCGUCCGAGUUGUAAUUUGAAGAAGGUAACUUUGGAAACGGCCCUUGUAUAUGUUCCUUGGAAUAGGACGUCACAGAGGGUGAGAACCCCGUAUAUGGCGAGGUGUCCGUUUCUAUGUAAAGUGCUUUCUAAGAGUCGAGUUGUUUGGGAAUGCAGCUCUAAGUGGGUGGUAAAUUCCAUCUAAGGCUAAAUAUUGGCGAGAGACCGAUAGCGAACAAGUACAGUGAUGGAAAGAUGAAAAGAACUUUGAAAAGAGAGUGAAAAAGUACGUGAAAUUGUUGAAAGGGAAGGGCUUGAAAUCAGACUUGGUUUGUAGUGAUCAGCUGUCUCUUGGGACUGUGCACUCGCUACUUACUAGGCCAACAUCAGUUUUGGCGGUGGGAUAAUGACAGUUGAAUGUGGCUCCGCUUCGGUGGAGUGUUAUAGCUUCUGUUGAUACCACCAGCUGGGACUGAGGACUGCGUCUUUGACUAGGAUGUUGGCGUAAUGAUUUUAAGCCACCCGUCUUGAACCCCGGGAACCCACAAAA